AUUCUCGUCCUGCACUUGCACCUGCACUCGCAGCAGCCGCGCGCCCGCGCCUCCCGGCCCCUCAGCGCGUACCGUAAGCGCGCGCCACGGCGGGCCAGCUUCGAAGUCCAGGGGCCGCGCCAGGUACAAGCGCCCUGAGGCCGCAUCCAGCGCGAAGGUGCCCUCGGGAUCGGCACCGCCCACCAGUGUGUAGUUAGCGUGUACAAGAUGGUCCCAUUCUCCCCCUCAUCUGGAUCCUUCGCCUGCAGAGUCGUCACCAGUGUUCCCGGAGGCACGCGGUCUGGUACCUGUGGGAACACAACUCACCUAGACUGCGAGUAGACUGUGAGAAAAACAGGUUUUCUGGACUUGAGAUGUGUACAAAUGGCACAAAGAAAUCAGGAACUUCUGUGGAGAAGGAACACAGUUUCAGCUGAAGAAGAAGGGAGUGUGAUUUUGGAAGAGGAGUGAGGGAGAGACUGGGGUCCUUGAUCAUAUCCACGGCGCUUGGGCAGCUGGGUGGAUGGAUGGUGGUGAGGCUGGCUGUGCUCCACAAAAGGAGCAGCAGGAGGCUGCAGGGGGUUCGUAUGAGGAGAUGAUGACUGUGACUUGGGGCUGCUGACUUUGAAGUGCUGGUUGGGUAGGUAGGUCUGCAACUUAGAGGAGCGGUCUGGGAUGGACAUAAAUAUUUGGGAGUCAUCUGCAAAUGCCGUAUAAGCUUGAAUAUAGGGUGAAGUUUUUGCUUUUUUGUUUUUCCAAAAUCAUCCCUCAGGAAAGAGGGAGUAACCUUAUAUUUGAGUCCUUACAAGGUCUCUCAUAUUACAGGGUUUGCUCUCAUUUACUUUAUUUUGAACAACAAACCACUGGAUAGGGCAGUAUGGUAUGGUGACUAAGCUUGUGGACUCUGGAGCCAGACUCCCUGGCUCGGGGUCCAGACUCUCCUAUUUACAAGCUGUGUGGCACUGGGAAAGUUACUUAACUUGUCUCUGCCUCAGUUUUCUCAUCUAUAAAGUGGGCCUAAGGAUUAAAUUAUGUAAUAUAUAUAAAGCACUAUAUACCUGGCACUAUAUGGUAAGUGUCCAAUAAAUGCUAACUAUUUUUACUGUUUGGCUAAGACCCAUUGACCUGAAAUGUCCUCAACAAUGCUAUUUUGGAUGUAUUGUAGUCAAAGAAAUUUAACACAGCUUUGGUAACUAUUCCUGGUAGUAUGACCUCAUAAUCGCAUGUGUUGGAUGUCUCAAAAUAUGCUUUUUAAAGAUUGCUUUAAAAAGCAAUACAGUAGUACUUGGAAGAGGUUUCUGGGCUGCCGAAAAUGUUCUAUUUCUUGACCUGAGUGGUUAUAUGGACCUGAGGGAUGUUUCACUCUGACAGUUCAUUGAGCUGAAUAUUUAUGAUGGCUUGUGGCCUUUUCCAUAUAGAUGUUAUAUUUCAGUAAAAAAAGUUAACAGAAAUAUAAUUUUUAAAAAGUAUUACAUUAAGUGAUGUUUUGAAGUCAUGAAUAUACUCAGGCAGGGUGCAUGCAAAAAACCAACUGUUCUAGUGUGAUGCAAAGGAAACUUGUGACUUAGGAUAAAGUUUCCAAGGACUGCAUCAUCUGUGAAUUCAAACUGUGCUGUGUCCUCUCCCAAGCCCUUCGCUUAAACUGAAGAGAAGGACAUCUGUUCUGGGAAAACAUGUAAGAUGGCUGAAAAAGUGAUCCUAAUGAUGAGAAAGACACUGCUUGUGUUGAGUAUGCAUAAAAUUGCUUCAUAAUUUAUGAGAAUGGAAAAGACAAUAUUUAUCAGUUAUAUAUUUUUAUAUGAUAUAUGAAUUUAAAUAUA
ensembl:lncRNA novel transcript